UGUUUUCAGUUACUGUAUCAUUUUCCAUUAUGUUUCAUCGCAUAGCAAAGGUCUUUGCCAUGGCCACACACUCGUACCUCCUUGUGCAGCAUUGUUGAACAUCCAAAAUCCAACACCAUACCCAUCUCAUUCUCAACUCCAAUGCCACUUCGCAAACCCCAUCUUUUCCUCAAAUCAUUUUCCACAUCAACACCACAAUCAACUUCUCUCAAUUGGAGAACUCAACUAAAACAAUCCCAACUCAUCUCCCAAAUCUCCUCCACCCUCUUGCAGAGACGCAAUUGGGCUCCACUCCUCAGCACCCUCAACCUCUCCUCCUCAAUCCUCACUCCACCUCUCUUCCUCCAUAUCCUCCACAGAACCCAAUCCAACCCACAACUCUCUCUCACCUUCUUCAAUUGGGCAAGAACAAACCUAGGGUUUAAACCAGAUCUCAAAACCCUAAGCAAGCUGAACCAGAUCCUAAUCUGUUCCAGCCUCGCUUUGCAGUCAAAACCCAUCUUGGAUUCGUUGAUUCAGACCUACCCACCAACCCAAAUCGUUGAUUCAGCGAUUCAUGCGUGUAGAGGUACGGAUUCUCAGUCCCCUGUAUUGGGUUCUGUUCUUGAAUGCUAUUGUAAUAAGGGUUUUUUCUUGCAAGCUUUGGAGGUUUAUAGGAAGAGCGUUGGUUAUGGAUAUGUUGUCUCAAUUCAUAGCUGUAAUGUGUUGUUUGAUGCUUUGCAAUUGAAGAAUGAGAUUAGAUUGGCAUGGUGUUUUUAUGGUAGUAUGCUCCGUAAUGGGAUUUUACCGGAUAGGUUUACAUGGUCUAUAAUUGCUCAUAUUCUAUGUAAAGAUGGGAAAUUUGAGAGAAUUGUUAGGGUUUUAGACAUGGGUAUGAAUAAUUCUGUGAUAUAUAAUCUGACUAUUGAUUGUUACAGUAAAAUAGGAAACUUUAGAGCUGCUUUUGAUCUCUUAAAUGAGAUGUGCAAUAGAAAACUUGAUUCCGGUUUUGGUACUUAUAGCUCAAUUCUUGACGGGGCUUGUAAAUAUGGGGAUAAUAAAGCGAUUGAAAUGGCAAUGGAUUCUAUGAUGGAGAAGGGGUUGCUUCCAAAGCUUCCAUUAUCGGAUUGUGAUUUGAUCAUUCAAAAGCUUUCUGAAUUGGGAAGGACAUAUGCGAUGGAUAUGUUUUUCAAGAGAGCUUGUGAUGGGAUGAUUGAAUUACAGCGUACUUCUUAUGGAUGCAUGCUAAGGGCAUUUUCUAAGGAAGGAAGAGUGAAGGAAGCAAUUGGGAUAUACCGUGAAAUGUUAGAAAGGGAUAUCAAAGCAAAUAGCAGUUGUUAUAAUGCAUUUGUAAAUGUUCUUUGCAAGGAAGAACCGUCAGAGGAAAUUAAUGGAUUGUUAAAAGAUAUAAUUGGGAGAGGAUUUAGUCCUUGUGCAUUAGAAUUGUCUAUUUUUAUAACUUCUCAAUGUGCUAAACGUAGAUGGAGAGAAGCGGAGCAGCUUUUGAAUGCAAUUUUAGAGAAAGGGUUACUUCCGGAUUCUUCAUGCUGCUGCUCAUUGGUGAAACAUUACUGCGCUAGUAGACGGAUUGAUUCAGCUAUUGCAUUGCAUAAUAAGAUGGAGAAACUAAAUGGUAUUUUGGAUGUAACAACAUAUAAUGUACUUCUCAAUGGGCUGUUGAAAGAAAGGAGGGUUGAAGAAGCAGUUAAGGUAUUUGAUUACAUGAGAACUCGAAAAUUGCUGAGCGGUGAUAGUUUUUCAAUUAUGAUCAGUGUGCUUUGCCAGGAAAAGGAAUUGAGGAAAGCCAUGAAAAUGCAUGAUGAAAUGUUGAAAAUGGGGCUUAAACCUGAUGAAAAAACAUAUAAACGAUUGAUUUCUGGUUUUAAGUGAUUUGUUGUCAUACAUUUCUGGCAUGUUGUGACAUGUUGCUCAUGUACACACUGAAUAGCCUAUCUUAAAGUGGGAGAUGGGAAAUGGCAUAUCGGAUUGUGAUUUGGUCAUUCAAAAAAUGAUUUUGCUUCCUACUACUCUCAAACCCGAAGAUGAAAGGUUGUUUUCUAGUAGUGUUUUUAUUAUGGUAGUUAGAGAUGAUGGUGAUGGUGAUGGUGAUGGUGAUGGUGAUGUUAGUGGUAGUGGUGGCAUUGUGUUGAAGAUAUUGCUUCACACAAUUAUACAGAUACAAAUGGGAGUCACUGGUGUCCAAGAGAAAAUACAAAAACUCAUGGAUUGAAAUUGCUUUAUGAUUGUGAUCUGUUUGAUGGUUUUCAGUAGUGUACUUUUGUGGAGUUCCGACUGGAUUGCAUUCUCUAUUGGGAGUGUAUGAUAACUCUGCUACUUAUGCAUUCUCCCCAUCGAAUUAUGUACAACUCUCCUUACUUCUCUGUUUUUGGUUCUGAAUCCAUGAGGCAAAAUUGGCUUCGCAUCAUUCCAUCUUUAGCUUCCAAUUCAAUCACCAGUUCUGCCCAGCGCAACCUUUGCACUCGCCAAUUGCCGGCAGACGUUCAAUCCAUUCACACUCUACCAGAAGAACUAAAUGGAACUGUGAACUCCAUCUGUGAUUCAUUGCGGAAAGGCCUUAAUUGGGACGCACUUAGUAGAAGGUAUAGUUCUGUUGAGUUAAGCAAUUCAAUGGUUGAAAAAGUACUACUACAACUGAAGGAACCAAUUGAUGCAAAGUGUACCUUGGGUUUCUUCCACUGGUCAGCUCAGCAAAAGCAUUUUAAACAUGAGACUUCCAGUUACUGUAUUGUAAUUCACAUAUUAGUCCGAGCAAAACUCAUUAGGGAUGCUCGAACUUUGCUCGAAUCAGUUAUGAAGAAAAGCAUUUCUUGCAAUUCUUCGCGAUUCUCAGUUGUUGAUUCUCUUCUUAAUAGUUACAAAAGUUGUAAUUCUAUUCCAUUGGUGUUUGAUCUGUUGGUUCAAACUUAUGCCAAGCUGAGGAUGAUAGACACUGGCUUCGAUGUUUGUCAAUACUUGAAUGAACAUGGGUUCACUUUAAGUGUCAUUAGUUACAACACACUGAUCAAUGUAGUUCAAAAAUCUAAUCAGACAAGUAUGGUUUGGAAAAUCUAUGAGCAUAUGAUCCAAAAAAGAACAUCCCCAAAUAGUGUAACAGUCAGAAUAAUGAUCAGUGCAUUGUGCAAGGAAGGUAAGUUGCAAGAAACUAUUGACAUGUUGGAUAGAAUUCAUGGGAAGAGUUGCUCUCCUACAGUGAUUGUUAACACUAGUUUGGUCUUUAGGAUCUUGGACGAGAGACGAGUUGAUGAAGGAAUGGUAUUGUUGAAGAGGAUGCUGCAAAAAAACAUGAUUCUUGAUACUGUUUCUUAUUCUAUGAUUGUAUAUGCUAGGGUUAAGCUUGGGAGUUUAGAUUCUGCAUGGGAUGUUUAUGAGGAAAUGCUCAAAAGAGGUUUUCAUGCAAAUCCUUUUGUAUACACUUCAUUUAUAAAGGCAUAUUGUAUGGAGGGAAGGAUUGAUGGUGCGAUUUGCUUGAUGCAGGACAUGAAAAAUUUGGGUUUGAAGCCAUUCAGCGAGACUUUUGAUCAUCUCAUCAUGGGUUGCUCACAUGUGGGAAGAUUAGAAGAAAGUGUAAACUUCUGUGAGAAAACAAUGGAGAUGAAUUUUGUUCCUAGUUGUUUGGCUUUCAACGAAAUGGUUGGAAAGCUCUGUCAAACCAGGGGCACCAGGCAGGCUAAUGAGAUGUUAACUAAUCUGUUAGAUAAAGGGUUUGAACCUGACCAGGUUACAUAUUCUCGGCUUAUUGCUGGCUAUGCCAAAGAAGGAAACAUUCAGGAAGUUCUCAAGCUAUACUAUGAAAUGGAAUAUAGAUCACUCUCUCCUGGUUCACUGGUUUUUGCAUCUUUGAUUAGUUGCCUUUGCCAAUGUGGAAAAUUUGAGGAGGCAGAAAAAUAUCUUAAGGUUAUGAAGGAUCGAUCGAUACCACCAUCUGCAUAUAUUUUUGGGACACUAAUUGCCAGCCACUAUAUGAAGGGCAACAAGUCAAGAGCUCGUCAAUUUUAUAGGGAAAUGGUUGGAGAAGGAUUGGAACAUAGUGACUCAUGUUGUUGUGUUGGUGCAGAGGAACUUCAGAGCUAGCCCUUCUUGUGGAGGCAUAUUCUAUGAAUUGUCUAGGGUUGACUAGAAAUCCAUGUUGGUGAGAACUAUCUGAAUUAUAUUGUUGCACUUCUUUUGGUUGUGGCGUUGGUGCAUGGUGUUGUGGCUAGUUGCCUUGACAAUGAACCUCAAUUGGGGCGAGUACCUUGCUUGUGGCGAGCUUGGUGCAUGGAAGCAACCGUUGACGUAAAUGGAGUAUGGAGACCUUUGGUUAGCAUUCGGAAUGUGAGGCCUCUAUUUGUGCGGAUUGCUCUUGCUGACAAUUUCGUGGGCUUGCUAAAAGACUAAAUUGGUGCAAUUUAUAAUGCUCAGAUGGUCAAAAAAUUAGUCACCAAAGUUGCUUCUCCUCCGUCAUCGCAGUCACCUGCUUCGCUUCUUCGACCAAGCAUCAACGGCACUUCGAGAAGUCGAACGGCCUCCAUUGUUACCACCACCAUCACCAUUUUUCUGCUAUUACCAGUUCGCCUAUCUUCAAACAGCCCUGAGAUCAGAACUACUCUAUAUAUGCUGUAUGAGUGGAGAACAAUCUGCUUUUGACUUGACAGUAGCACUUUGUCUUCCGACAAUGAGUGAGGCUUUGGCCAUGAACAAGUUGGUUGCAGGGUUCACCAAGGAUGUUGAAGAGUUUGCUUACCAUUAUGCCAUGGAAGGAAAACUCAUUGAGUUGGCUGUCUUGCUGAUUGUGGCUCGAGAAAAGGUUUUUGGUUCCCAUCACAUUCCAUGGAAAAGAUGGUGCUGGUUUAAAUGGAAGUAUGACAAUUCAUGAAUGUCUUAGAAAUCAAUGUGUGUCUCUAAUUAACGAGGAGAUCAACCUUAUGGAUCAAGUUGAACAUGAGAAAUUAACUCGAAUUCACAACAAGAAGACAAUUAUGAAGUUGGCUAUGGUAUUGCUAGAAGUUUUUGAGAGGGCUGGUAGUAGUAUUGAGGAAUAUCAUCAGCUACAACUACAGCAACCUGAUAUGGAUAUCUCAGCUUCCUCAUGUGGAUAUAAGCUGAUGUUUGUAAGUUGUGAAUGUAACAAAAUUGUAUUCACAUGUGCAGUAACGCAUAUCAGCACAUUGUUACGUAAGGCAAUCAUUUGGUGCUCCUUAGAGGUGCAGAGAGAACAUGUGGGGAAAGAUGUUGCUCUGAGGCUUGUGGAAGCAGACUUUAACUUGGAGGCUGGAGACUUUGAUUUUAGCACUGGAGACUGGUUUGAGAACCUAAUAUUUAACGUUUGAAUGUCUUUUCUGGAUUGUGUUUGUUUUUUUAUGCACAUUUGUUGAUCAUCCUUUGUGGUUCAGUAUAACUACACUAUUAUGUCAUUGAAUGGCUAAUUGACACUUGGGAGUACCUUUCUUUCUUGACAGGAUCGUUUCCUACAAUUCUGCAAUGACCUCUACCAAGUACAUAGAUAUACUCGAUUAGGUAAUUUAUUGAGUUCUAAUUGAAAUAAUCUAACUUCUGCUUCAUAAGUAAUAAUGAAGAAAUACAAAUGGUAUGCGAGUUUCUUAUAUGUUUUCUUACAAAAGACAAGUCGUCUCAAUUGUGGAGCCCUCACUUGCCCAUGCAGCAGCAAACAAAUGCGUUUUUUCCCCCAAGGGUUAGAAAAUGAUAUUUGUUUUGUUUUUUGCAAUUAUUUUUGUUGGUUCAAGUAUUGCUAGGAGUCUUGUUUCUUGGAUGCUUUGUGCUAUAACGAACAGCAUCACUAAUAUAAUUUUACUCCUUUUGAACUUAUUGCCUGCAUUAGCGGGGGAAUUCCAAGGUACCAUUGCCCCAAUUUUUUUUGGGUACACGACUCAUCCUUUUAUUGAUGGAGCUGUGAAUUUGUUUGAGCUUCAAGUUUGUUUCCAACAAAUUAAUGCCAACUUGGAACUACUUUUGGGAUUAUGCAUCAUUUGGUGGUUUUAAUGAUUAAUUGGAGAUGCUAUCUCCAAUUAGUGUUUUCCUCCUAUUCUAGAUCAUUUAUCAGGAGUUUGAGGAGUUGGAACUAUCAAAUAAUUUGGUUGUGUUGACUUUUUACUAUACUGUUGUUGGGCAGAUUUGGUUAGAUUUGGCAAUCAAUGAAAUCAAUUUUAAAUGAUGCAGGUGCUUGGAGGACUUACAAAUCCGUUGAAUCCGGAAGACUACCUGCUCAAAUGAGAAGGCUUUUGGAACUAUCUGUACUUUAAUCUGGAAGAUUACCUGCUCAAAUGGGAAGGCUUAUGCAUGUAUGCUUGUCUGUGCGUGUACAUGUGUGUUUACUUUUUGAUGGAUCUUGAUGGAUUGAUGACGUUAUAACAAUGCAAUUUUUUUUUCCUUUCUCU